ACAGGUGAUCCUUCUCUACAGGUGGCAGAUCUCCGGGCCAAGCUCCGUGCCUAUGAGGAUGCUGCUCAGGAUGCAGGGAAGCAAAUACCAGUGCUGCUGCCUUCUCCCAGGAUGGAAGAAGCUGUCCCAAAGAGCUGCUUAGUCCCGAGUGCUUGCAGGGAGAGUGAUGGGGAGCAGCAGGAGCUGGGAGCUGGGCAGGAUGCUCAGCUGGAAGGAGAGGAGGAGGUUCCAGAGGAAAUGCCCCCCAGCAGCCCCAGCCCCACCCAGCAGGCAGAUCUCCAGCUGGGAAUGAAGAAACCGAACCGGCUUCCGCAGCGUUUGUCCCGCAGCCACACAGAC